GGAUGAUAUGAUGAGGAAAUGUUGGUUUGAUUUCCAAGAUGAUUGCGUAUACCUUGUUAUUAGCUCUAUCUGAUCUUCC